AUUGAACGCUGGCGGCAGGCCUAACACAUGCAAGUCGAACGAGUGGCGCACGGGUGAGUAAUGUCUGGGAAACUGCCCGAUGGAGGGGGAUAACUACUGGAAACGGUAGCUAAUAUCGCAUACCAUCAGAUGUGCCCAGAUGGGAUUAGCUAGUAGGUGGGGUAACGGCUCACCCAGGCGACGAUCCCUAGCUGGUCUGAGAGGAUGACCAGCAACACUGGAACUGAGACACGGUCCAGACUCCUACGUGAGGCAGCAGUGGGGAAUAUUGCACAAUGGGCGCAAGCCUGAUGCAGCCAUGCCGCGUGUAUGAAGAAGGCCUUCGGGUUGUAAAGUACUUUCGGCGGGGAGGCGUUACCCGCAGAAGAAGCACCGGCUAACUCCGUGCCAGCAGCCGCGGUAAUAC
rnacentral:rRNA from 1 species